GUGCCAGCACCGCGGUAAUACCGGCCGCCCGAGUGAUGGCCGAUCUUAUUGGGCCUAAAGCGUCCGUAGCUGGCUGCGCAAGUCCGUCGGGAAAUCCACUCGCCCAACGAGUGGGCGUCCGACGGAAACUGCACAGCUUGGGACCGGAAGGCUCGAAGGGUACGUCCGGGGUAGGAGUGAAAUCCCGUAAUCCUGGACGGACCACCGAUGGGGAAACCACGUCAAGAGACCGGACCCGACGGUGAGGGACGAAAGCCAGGGUCUCGAACCGGAUUAGAAACCCGGGUAGUCC
rnacentral:rRNA from 1 species